AAAAUUUACUUGUUUAAAUAUUGGUAUUGCAUACUAUUACAAUAAAAUUUCAUGUUAAUGAAAAAUAGAAACAAAGGGUAGAGUAAAUAUUAGUUUUAUUGUUUCAUACUAAAAAUUAUAUUUAUUAGAGUUGAUAUGUCGACCUUUGUGAUAACUGUUUUUAUUCUUAUAUUAGAAAAUUAUAUAUUAUAUAAUUAUUUUAGGAAAUUUAAAAUUUGAAGUGUUUUAAAUAUAUGUUUUACAACAUUUUCCUAAUUUUAUUUAAGUUUAAUUUUUAAUUUAAUAAAGUUUUAUUAAAUAAAUAAUUUGUAAAUUAGUAAAUUUUAUAAAUUUAAUUUAUUAUUAAAAUAUAAUUGAAGAACUUGAAGUCUUGAUCAAAUGUUUUUUAAAGACUUAGGCUUUACAUUAAAGCUGGCUUCUGCCCUAUGAUAUUUAAAUGGCAGUCUUAGCGUGAGGACAUUAAGGUAGCAAAAUAAUUUGUGCUUUUAUUGAGUUCCAGUAUGAAUGAAGUUAUUGGUUAGUUCUAUUUAUGUUUUAUGUUUGUAUUUAAUUUUUAUUUAAGAAAAAAUAAAUAUAUUUAUACAAAGAUAAGUCUUCGGAAAUUCUGUUAUUACACAAUUAAAUAAUUGUGUAAUAAAUUUUCUAGGGCAGAAUAUUAUAUAAUAGUAUUUCACUAUAUUUAAUUUAAAGAAUUACUCCGGA
rnacentral:rRNA from 1 species